UGAAAAUCUACAUGGGUGAAAUAGUUUAAAACACCCAAUUUCUUGUACUCUCUCUCUUGUCUCGACCCAAACACUCCCAAACCCCAUUUUUCUCUCAAAAUCCCUCAUCUCCAUUAACCAAGAUCAUCUAUCAAGGUUAGAACUCAAAUUCAAAUCCAUGCAUUCUUGCAUCAUUGGAGGCCUAAAGGAAGCUUAGUUUCAUUCCUUUUAAUUGUUUCUACAGUCUUGGUGAGCAGGAGGACGAGCAGCCGCCGGACGUGUGACGCGGGCGUAGUCCACAUUAUCCCUCUUUAUGUUAUAUUGCUUUAUGUGUGUAUUAAUGUCAUGUUUGACUAUGUGGUGUAUUAGGAGGUUGACUCUUUGCCCUUUUAAAUUUUAAUUGCAUUUGGUACAGUAGAUUUGGCAUGUCUCUAGACUUUGUGGAUGUCAAUUGGGUGUUUAACACCGGUUGGAAUGUUUUAGUUUCGUUGGAUGCCGGAGGCAUGUUAUGUAUGACUUAUGUUUACUUUAUGAAAAUAUAUUCUUCAUUGUGCCUUUGAGGAAAAUUUUCU